rnacentral:rRNA from 1 species
GAUGAACGCUGGCGGCGUGCCUAAUACAUGCAAGUCGAGCGAACAGAUAAGGAGCUUGCUCCUUUGACGUUAGCGGCGGACGGGUGAGUAACACGUGGGUAACCUACCUAUAAGACUGGGAUAACUUCGGGAAACCGGAGCUAAUACCGGAUAACAUUUGGAACCGCAUGGUUCUAAAGUGAAAGAUGGUUUUGCUAUCACUUAUAGAUGGACCCGCGCCGUAUUAGCUAGUUGGUAAGGUAACGGCUUACCAAGGCGACGAUACGUAGCCGACCUGAGAGGGUGAUCGGCCACACUGGAACUGAGACACGGUCCAGACUCCUACGGGAGGCAGCAGUAGGGAAUCUUCCGCAAUGGGCGAAAGCCUGACGGAGCAACGCCGCGUGAGUGAUGAAGGGUUUCGGCUCGUAAAACUCUGUUAUUAGGGAAGAACAAACGUGUAAGUAACUGUGCACGUCUUGACGGUACCUAAUCAGAAAGCCACGGCUAACUACGUGCCAGCAGCCGCGGUAAUACGUAGGUGGCAAGCGUUAUCCGGAAUUAUUGGGCGUAAAGCGCGCGUAGGCGGUUUCUUAAGUCUGAUGUGAAAGCCCACGGCUCAACCGUGGAGGGUCAUUGGAAACUGGGAAACUUGAGUGCAGAAGAGGAAAGUGGAAUUCCAUGUGUAGCGGUGAAAUGCGCAGAGAUAUGGAGGAACACCAGUGGCGAAGGCGACUUUCUGGUCUGUAACUGACGCUGAUGUGCGAAAGCGUGGGGAUCAAACAGGAUUAGAUACCCUGGUAGUCCACGCCGUAAACGAUGAGUGCUAAGUGUUAGGGGGUUUCCGCCCCUUAGUGCUGCAGCUAACGCAUUAAGCACUCCGCCUGGGGAGUACGACCGCAAGGUUGAAACUCAAAGGAAUUGACGGGGACCCGCACAAGCGGUGGAGCAUGUGGUUUAAUUCGAAGCAACGCGAAGAACCUUACCAAAUCUUGACAUCCUUUGAAAACUCUAGAGAUAGAGCCUUCCCCUUUGGGGGACAAAGUGACAGGUGGUGCAUGGUUGUCGUCAGCUCGUGUCGUGAGAUGUUGGGUUAAGUCCCGCAACGAGCGCAACCCUUAAGCUUAGUUGCCAUCAUUAAGUUGGGCACUCUAGGUUGACUGCCGGUGACAAACCGGAGGAAGGUGGGGAUGACGUCAAAUCAUCAUGCCCCUUAUGAUUUGGGCUACACACGUGCUACAAUGGACAAUACAAAGGGCAGCUAAACCGCGAGGUCAUGCAAAUCCCAUAAAGUUGUUCUCAGUUCGGAUUGUAGUCUGCAACUCGACUACAUGAAGCUGGAAUCGCUAGUAAUCGUAGAUCAGCAUGCUACGGUGAAUACGUUCCCGGGUCU